rnacentral:lncRNA from 1 species
ACGCUACAAGUCACCAACUACUUUAUCGCGCAGUCUGUGUAUACCCGUGGUGGAGGCAGGACGUGCGCCGGUUCGCUCUCUCUCUGAUGAGUGGCGUCCCCGUGCACCAUCACCGAGCUCGGUUUUUAGUUAAAGCUGAGAUCAGGCAAGGAAAAAGUAGAGGCUCAAGGAAGGAGAAAAUGGACCGUGCGAACUCAAUGGAUAAAAGAGCCGAAGGACAAAGAAAAAAGAGAAGAGCUGUGGCUGGCGAGUAGUCGGCCUCUCCCCGCCAGGUCGUGACAAAGAGAAACUUCAUGACACUAAGACAGCAGAAAACACGGGGCUGCGACGACGGCAUGGCCAGCGUUACCAAAAGCCAAGCAGAGGAUACCACGGCGGCGGAUGAACCACUGGUACCAACGCCGAGAGCAAGCUAUGACUCAACUCUUCCACAAGGACCUGCGUUCCGUGGGGCAUGGAACUGAAAUUUCUGUGACAGAUCGAGGGCCGCCCGUCACGCUGACAACGAGGAUGACCUCCAAGACUACGUAGUUCGCUAAACUGCGGUCAUGUGAAGCCACGGCGACGUAACGCACCUGCGAUGGACUCCGAGCCUCGAGGAGGACCUUGCGUAAAGUGAGUGGGAGGAUAUGCAGCGCCAUCGCUAUGCAAAAUCAUCAAUCACAGAAGACAUCACCGGAGCAAAGCUUUCUUCUGAACUUAAGAGAAGAAUGAUAAAGGGCCUCCCCCCCACCAGUAUCCCCUCCCCCUUCCCGGACAGAAUUUCUCCAAUCGCAUUUGCAUCCUCAAGCAAUGGGAAAUUUCUUGCUCAGCAAAGAUAUUCCACACGCCCCAGGGGUCUUUUCCUCUUUCAUGCCUUUCUCCAUCAUAGCAUGAAUAUUUUAGGAAUUGCGGGACCGCUCCUGCUGGGCUGUUCCCAUGAAUGUUAAGAGAAAUAAACUGAUAACUUUAUGAAGCAUAAUUUGACAAAUUGUAUAUAGAUUUAACUGAAGCAUUUGAUGUUGCAUAGUAAUUUCACCCCAAAAUCAGAUUCAAGUUGCAGAAGUGUUUCAAAGUCAUUUUCACCCUUUUACUUGCAAUAAAAAGAUGAUGCAUUAAUUCUGAAAAUCUAAUAAAAAAUAGUCCUUGACAAGAUAACUUUUCUUUGUUUUGACUUGUUAAAAAGAAGUUUGUUUUAAACUUUAUAAUCUCUAUAACUUUCUUGAUCUAGUUUCGACAUUAAUAAAUAUGACCAAACUGAAGAUUUAAUUUUUUAUUCAACUAUCUUCUCCGUGAAAGAAGAAAAUCUGCACACACAAGAUAUAAAUUACACCGCCUUAUACAGUAAAAAGAUAUCUACAAAGAUCUACAAAUUAAGAACAUAUCUAUAACACCCUGGCAACUGUCUCAACGAACGUCAUUAUGUAUAGUUAUAAA